rnacentral:rRNA from 1 species
AUGGGGGAAACCCUGACGCAGCAACGCCGCGUGAGUGAGGAAGGACUUCGGUCUGUAAAGCUCUGUUAAUGUGGAAAAAUGGUAGCUGGUCUAAUAGGCCGGCUAUUUGAUGGUACACAUAGAGGAAGCACCGGCUAACUUCGUGCCAGCAGCCGCGGUAAUAAUCUAGAU